UUCACCACCAAAAGCCUCUCC
rnacentral:siRNA from 1 species